rnacentral:lncRNA from 1 species
AUCUAGUGAACUCAUGAGCGUACUCAGAUACGCUCAUUCCGGGCAUCUGCUUCAGCCUCUCAAACUGAAGAGCCCGAUUCUGCCUCUCAACCGGAGACAAAAACUCAUCCAUCACUGCUUGCCUGAACUCUUCCCAGGUUGGAGGAUUCCUACUGUACAAUUUGUCCUCCACUUGUCUCUGGUACCAGUCCCAAGCAUCUUCCUUCAUUGUAAGCCUUACAAGUUCUAUAACUCUUGCAUCAGAACAGGGCAGUCUCCGUAUCAUCUUUUCAGUCUCCUCCAGAAAUCUCUGAGGAUCUUCACCUUCUUUCCCCUUAAACUCCGGGGUUCUGAGCCUCAGAAAUUCCUGUACAGUAAUUCCCUCAUCAUCUAGAGCCCGCCUGGCCAAACUUCUUGGCACAGGUACAGGAGGUGGGAUGGAUACUACUGACGGGGCAGAAGAUUUCCCCCGAGCAAUCUACUCCCUCAGAGCCUGAUUCUCCGCCAGUAACUGUUCCAUCAAUGUAUCUCUACUUCCUACAUCUCCUUGAUCAUCAACCCUCCGUCUAUC